GCCUGGGUGGUUCAGUCAGUUGAGCACCCGACUUCAACUCAGGCGUGAUCUCACGGUUCAUGGGUUCGAGCCCCACUUCAGGCU
rnacentral:tRNA from 1 species